rnacentral:rRNA from 1 species
AGCAGCCGCAGUAAUUUCAGCUCCAAUAGUGUAUAUUAAAGUUGUUGCAGUUAAAAAGCUCGUAGUUGAAUUUUGAGAUCAGUUGGUCGGUCGUGUCUUGGUACGUACUGGUCAAAUUGAUUCCUACCUUCUGACGAAUCACAAUGUCAUUAAUUUGGUGUCGCAGGAAAUCAGGACUGUUACUUUGAAAAAAUUGAGUGUUUAAAGCAGGCUCGUGCUUGAAUACAUUAGCAUAGAAUAAUGAAAUAAGACGUUUGAUUCUAUUUUGUUAGUUUCUAGGGUCGAUAUAAUGAUUAAUAGGAAUAGUUGGAGUAUUAGUAUUCAAUUGUCAGAAGUGAAAUUCUUGGAUUUUAUUGAAGACUAACUACUGCGAAAGCAUUUGCCAAGAAUGUUUUCAUUAAUC